ensembl:rRNA 5S_rRNA 5S ribosomal RNA
GUCUACGGCCAUACCACCCUGAACGCGCCCAAUCUCGUCUGAUCUCGGAAGCUAAGCAGGGUCGGGCCUGGUUAGUACUUGGAUGGGAGAAAAGAGACCACAUUAAGGGAGAAUCCAAUGGUAAUCAGAGACC